rnacentral:piRNA from 1 species
UCGCUUUAUUUAAGAAAAGCA